rnacentral:rRNA from 1 species
AGAACGAACGCUGGCGGCAGGCCUCAAACAUGCAAGUCUAGGGGGUGUAGCAAUACAUCACCGGCGGACGGGUGCGUAACACGUGGGAAUAUACCUUUUGGUUCGGAACAACGCAGGGAAACUUGCGCUAAUACCGAAUGUGCCCUUACGGGGAAAGAUUUAUCGCCAAAGGAUUAGCCCGCGUAGGAUUAGCUAGUUGGUGAGGUAAUAGCUCACCAAGGCUCCGAUCCUUAGCUGUUCUGAGAGGAAGAUCAGCCACACUGGGACUGAGACACGGCCCAGACUCCUACGGGAGGCAGCAGUUGGGAAUCUUGGACAAUGGGGGAAACCCUGAUCCAGCCAUGCCGCGUGAGUGAUGAAGGCCUUCGGGUUGUAAAACUCUUUCGACGGGGACGAUAAUGACGGUACCCGUAGAAGAAGCUCCGGCUAACUCGUGCCAGCAGCCGC